rnacentral:tRNA from 1 species
GGAGAGGUGCUAGAGUGGCUUAAUGGGCUCGCUUGGAAAGCGUGUGUUCGUUUACUCGAACCAGGGGUUCGAAUCCCCUUCUCUCCUCCA